rnacentral:rRNA from 1 species
UGGGGAAUAUUGGACAAUGGGCGAAAGCCUGAUCCAGCCAUGCCGCGUGUGUGAAGAAGGUCUUCGGAUUGUAAAGCACUUUAAGUUGGGAGGAAGGGCAGUAAGCGAAUACCUUGCUGUUUUGACGUUACCGACAGAAUAAGCACCGGCUAACUCUGUGCCAGCAGCCGCGGUAAUACAGAGGGUGCAAGCGUUAAUCGGAAUUACUGGGCGUAAAGCGCGCGUAGGUGGUUCGUUAAGUUGAAUGUGAAAGCCCCGGGCUCAACCUGGGAACUGCAUCCAAAACUGGCGGGCUAGAGUAGGGCAGGGGGUGGUGGAAUUGCCUGUGUAGCGGUGAAAUGCGUAGAGAUAGGAAGGAACACCAGUGGCGAAGGCGACCACCUGGGCUCAUACUGACACUGAGGUGCGAAAGCGUGGGGAGCAAACAGG